rnacentral:snoRNA from 1 species
CUUAACCCUUUGUAGUUUAGUAUAUAGAUGGUCGCUUUUGCGAGGCAUUUGUCUGAUGCUUCU